rnacentral:misc_RNA from 1 species
GGAUCAUUGCUGGAACGCGCCCCAGGCGCACCCAGAAACCCUUUGUGAACUUAUACCUUACUGUUGCCUCGGCGCAUGCUGGCCCCCUCGGGGUCCCUUGGAGACAAGGAGCAGGCACGCCGGCGGCCAAGUUAACUCUUGUUUUUACACUGAAACUCUGAGAAAAAACACAAAUGAAUCAAAACUUUCAACAACGGAUCUCUUGGUUCUGGCAUCGAUGAAGAACGCAGCGAAAUGCGAUAAGUAAUGUGAAUUGCAGAAUUCAGUGAAUCAUCGAAUCUUUGAACGCACAUUGCGCCCUCUGGUAUUCCGGAGGGCAUGCCUGUUCGAGCGUCAUUUCAACCCUCAAGCAUUGCUUGGUGUUGGGGCACUGCCUGUAAAAGGGCAGGCCCUGAAAUCUAGUGGCGAGCUCGCCAGGACCCCGAGCGCAGUAGUUAAACCCUCGCUUUGGAAGGCCCUGGCGG